rnacentral:rRNA from 1 species
UACGUAGGGGGCAAGCGUUGUCCGGAAUCAUUGGGCGUAAAGCGCGCGUAGGCGGCCCUGUAAGUCCGCUGUAAAAGUCAAAGGCUCAACCUUUGAAAGCCGGUGGAUACUGCAGGGCUAGAGUCCGGAAGAGGCGAGUGGAAUUCCUGGUGUAGCGGUGGAAUGCGCAGAUAUCAGGAGGAACGCCGGUGGCGAAGGCGGGUCUCUGGGCCGUAACUGACGCUGAGGAGCGAAAGCAUGGGGAGCGAACAGG